AACGAACGCUGGCGGCAUGCCUAACACAUGCAAGUCGAACGAGACCUUCGGGUCUAGUGGCGCACGGGCGCGUAACGCGUGGGAACCUGCCCUUAGGUUCGGAAUAACUCCCCGAAAGGGGUGCUAAUACCGGAUAAUGUCUUCGGACCAAAGAUUUAUCGCCUUUGGAUGGGCCCGCGUUGGAUUAGCUAGUUGGUAGGGUAAAAGCCUACCAAGGCGACGAUCCAUAGCUGGUCUGAGAGGAUGAUCAGCCACACUGGGACUGAGACACGGCUCAGACUCCUACGGGAAGCAGCAGUGGGGAAUAUUGGACAAUGGGCGAAAGCCUGAUCCAGCAAUGCCGCGUGAGUGAUGAAGGCCUUAGGGUUGUAAAGCUCUUUUACCCGGGAUGAUAAUGACAGUACCGGGAGAAUAAGCUCCGGCUAACUCCGUG
rnacentral:rRNA from 1 species